GCCGGGCAUGGUGGUGGAUGACUGUAAUCCCAGCUACUUGGGAGGCUGAGGCAGGAGAAUCGCUUGAACCCAGGAGGCAGAGCUUGCAGUGAGCCAAGAUCACGCCAUUGCAUGCCAGCCUGGGUGACAGAGCGAGACUCUGCCUCAA
rnacentral:SRP_RNA from 1 species